ensembl:snoRNA SNORA62 Small nucleolar RNA SNORA62/SNORA6 family
ACUGCACAGUGUUUGAGCUUGGAGUUGAGCCCCCAGCUGAUCGAUGUCCUCUCAAGUGUAGGUAGCUACAUGAGGGGCUAGUCCUUCACUAACACCACAAGGUCUCUGGCUCACUGAGUGGAGUCUGAUAGUAAUUCUUGCUACAAGA